GACGAACGCUGGCGGCGUGCUUAACACAUGCAAGUCGAACGGAAAGGCCCUGCUUUUGUGGGGUGCUCGAGUGGCGAACGGGUGAGUAACACGUGAGUAACCUGCCCUUGACUUUGGGAUAACUUCAGGAAACUGGGGCUAAUACCGGAUAGGAGCUCCUGCUGCAUGGUGGGGGUUGGAAAGUUUCGGCGGUUGGGGAUGGACUCGCGGCUUAUCAGCUUGUUGGUGGGGUAGUGGCCUACCAAGGCUUUGACGGGUAGCCGGCCUGAGAGGGUGACCGGCCACAUUGGGACUGAGAUACGGCCCAGACUCCUACGGGAGGCAGCAGUGGGGAAUAUUGCACAAUGGGCGGAAGCCUGAUGCAGCAACGCCGCGUGCGGGAUGACGGCCUUAGGGUUGUAAACCGCUUUCGCCUGUGACGAAGCGUGAGUGACGGUAAUGGGUAAAGAAGCACCGGCUAACUACGUG
rnacentral:rRNA from 1 species